rnacentral:rRNA from 1 species
AGCUCCAAUAGCGUAUAUUAAAGUUGUUGCAGUUAAAAAGCUCGUAGUUGAACUUUAGGCUUUGCAGAAUCAUUGUGCUCUUUUUCAGGGUGCAUUUGAUUCAGUGAGGCCUUUUCCUUCUGGGGAGCCGUUGUGUCCUUUACUGGUCGCUUCGGGGAUCCAGAACUGUUACCUUGAAGAAAUUAGAGCGUUCAAAGCAGGCAAUUGCUUGAAUACAUUAGCAUGGGAUAAUGAAAUAGGAUUUUGGUUCUAUUUUGUUGGUUUCUAGAACUGAGAUAAUGAUUAAUAGGGACAGUUGGGGGCAUUAGUAUUUCGUUGUCAGAGGUGAAAUUCUUGGAUUUACGAAAGACUAACUACUGCGAAAGCAUUUGCCAAGGAUGUUUUCA